rnacentral:rRNA from 1 species
UACGGGGGGGGUAAGCGUUGUUCGGAAUUACUGGGCGUAAAGGGCUCGUAGGCGGCCAACUAAGUCAGACGUGAAAUCCCUCAGCUUAACUGGGGAACUGCGUCUGAUACUGGAUGGCUUGGAUCCGGGAGAGGGAUGCGGAAUUCCAGGUGUAGCGGUGAAAUGCGUAGAUAUCUGGAGGAACACCGGUGGCGAAGGCGGUUCUCUGGGCAUUACCUGACGCUGAGGAGCGAAAGUGUGGGGAGCGAACAGG